rnacentral:rRNA from 1 species
UACGUAGGGUGCGAGCGUUGUCCGGAAUUAUUGGUCGUAAAGAGCUUGUAGGCGGUUUGUCGCGUCUGCUGUGAAAAUCCGGGGCUCAACCCCGGACUUGCAGUGGGUACGGGCAGACUAGAGUGUGGUAGGGGAGACUGGAAUUCCUGGUGUAGCGGUGAAAUGCGCAGAUAUCAGGAGGAACACCGAUGGCGAAGGCAGCCCCCUGGGCCGAUACUGACGCUCAGGCACGAAAGCGUGGGGAGCAAACAGG